rnacentral:rRNA from 1 species
ACUCCUACGGGAGGCAGCAGUGGGGAAUCUUGCGCAAUGGGCGAAAGCCUGACGCAGCCAUGCCGCGUGAAUGAUGAAGGUCUUAGGAUUGUAAAAUUCUUUCACCGGGGACGAUAAUGACGGUACCCGGAGAAGAAGCCCCGGCUAACUUCGUGCCAGCAGCCGCGGUAAUACGAAGGGGCUAGCGUUGCUCGGAAUUACUGGGCGUAAAGGGAGCGUAGGCGGACAUUUAAGUCAGGGUGAAAUCCCGGGGCUCAACCUCGGAAUUGCCUUUGAUACUGGGUGUCUUGAGUAUGAGAGAGGUGUGUGGAACUCCGAGUGUAGAGGUGAAAUUCGUAGAUAUUCGGAAGAACACCAGUGGCGAAGGCGACACACUGGCUCAUUACUGACGCUGAGGCUCGAAAGCGUGGGGAGCAAACAGGAUUAGAUACCCUGGUAGGUG